rnacentral:lncRNA from 1 species
CGAUGGCCUCGGGAGAGGGAAGCGCUGUGCCGUGAAGCUAUGGAAACAGCCAGCCUGGGUGCGGAGCGGUAAUUGGGCCACUCGCAUCACCGCAGGUAGUUCCUCCCCUUUCCAGGAUGUUGAGAACAGCAGUGGGAUAUUUAUCCUUGAGAAGGGGAGGAUUCAGAGGGAUGUAAAGCAGCUGUGCAGUACCUGUGAGGAGGUGUUUGAGAAGACAGCCAGAGCCUUCAGAGCAGUGUAUGGUGAGAGGAGGAGACACCACAGGUAUGAGGUAAGUUAUGAGAAGCUCAGACUGGUGAUGAAGACACGUUUUUUUCCAUGAAGGCAGCCAAGCACCAGCAGCUUGCCCAGGAAAGCUGUAGUGUCUCCAUCCUCUGAGGUUUCCAAGCCCCACGGGACAAUGAGGUCUUGCAGUUGACCUUGCUUUGAGCAGAAAGUUGAACUAGAGACCUCCUGAGGUCCUCUCUGACCUGGGAAAUUCUGCCACUUCAUGUCGAGAUCAGCAUUCCAGGACUGCUCCACCUCCUCAUACAGUGAACUCCAAAGCAGAUUUUAGGUUCCUGCAGGCUGGAAGAAAGUGGCUGAACCAUGUCUAAGGCCAUGGAUCACCACGCACUGGCUUCAUAAAAUCACGUAAUUAAAUCCUGGAAUGGUUUGGGUUGGAAGGGACCUUAAAGCUCUUCUCAUUCCAACCCCCUGCCAUGGAGGGACAUCCUCCACGAGACCAGGUUACCCAGAGCUC